rnacentral:rRNA from 1 species
UCAGUAACACGUAGUCAACAUGCCCAGGGGACGUGGAUAACCUCGGGAAACUGAGGAUAACCGCGAUAGGUCACUGCUUCUGGAAUGGGCAAUGACCCAAACCUACAUGGCCCUGGAUUGGACUGCGGCCGAUCAGGCUGUUGGUGAGGUAAUGGCCCACCAAACCUGUAACCGGUACGGGCUCUGAGAGGAGGAGCCCGGAGAUGGGCACUGAGACAAGGGCCCAGGCCCUAUGGGGCGCAGCAGGCGCGAAACCUCUGCAAUAGGCGAAAGCUUGACAGGGUUACUCUGAGUGAUUUCCGUUAAGGAGAUCUUUUGGCACCUCUAAAAAUGGUGCAGAAUAAGGGGUGGGCAAGUCUGGUGCCAGC